AAUUUAUUUAUAAUAUCAAGAAAUGAACAAGGUUUCUAGUCUUUCUACUUUCUAUUUUGUUCUUAUAAAUUUUCUUAUUAUAUCAUGGUGUUUACAAAGUGAAGCCAGGAUGUUCUUGGACAUGGAGAACUUGUCUUCAAUUAAAUUCAAAGGUGUUAUACGAGGUCGCAGUAAUAGAGAAACUCCGAUUAUAAUCAACCCUUCGCCAACAGCAAAUACUCGUAAUCAUGUUGACUAUACUCCACCACCGUUGAUAAGUUAAUCGAGAAACUCCGAUUAAAAUCAACCCUUCGCCAACAACAAAUACUCGUGAAGAACCAAUUGAACGAAAUGUUGAAGACGAUCGGCUAUUUUACUAUGAUUGGGCCAGGUGGCACGCGACCGCUAUAGACUAUUGAGUAAUUUUAAUGUGUAUUUCUAUUUUUAAUUAAUCGGAGAUUUCUGUUAUGGAAUCGAAGAUAUUAUGCUAGAAAGAAAAUUAAAGUGAGAAUAAA